ensembl:snRNA U2 U2 spliceosomal RNA
AUCGCUUCUCGGCCUUUUGGCUAAGAUCAAGUGUAGAAAUGCUUUUUUUGAGACGAAAGAAAUGGAAAUAUAGCUAGUACACAGAGAAUUGCAUAUAAUCCAUGCAAUUAUGUAGUGCUUGUAAACAUAAUCCUACAAUACCCUAGAUACUGU